UUUUAGGCUUAGGCUUAGGCUUAGGUUUAGGCUGAGGCUUAGGUUGAGGCUGAGGCUU
rnacentral:sRNA from 1 species